rnacentral:rRNA from 1 species
UACGAAGGGGGCUAGCGUUGUUCGGAAUUACUGGGCGUACAGCGUGCGCAGGCGGCUUCUCAAGUCAGGGGUGAAAGCCCAGAGCUCAACUCUGGAAUUGCCUUUGAGACUGAGUGGCUUGAGUACGAGAGAGGUGAGUGGAAUUCCCAGUGUAGAGGUGAAAUUCGUAGAUAUUGGGAAGAACACCGGUGGCGAAGGCGGCUCACUGGCUCGUAACUGACGCUCAUGCACGACAGCGUGGGGAUCAAACAGG